GGGUGAGUAACACGUGGGUAACUUACCUAUAAGACUGGAAUAACUCCGGGAAACCGGGGCUAAUGCCGGAUAACAUGUUGAACCGCAUGGUUCUACAGUGAAAGGCGGCUUUGCUGUCACUUAUAGAUGGACCCGCGCCGUAUUAGCUAGUUGGUGAGGUGACGGCUCACCAAGGCAACGAUACGUAGCCGACCUGAGAGGGUGAUCGGCCACACUGGAACUGGGACACGGUCCAG
rnacentral:rRNA from 1 species